UUUUAGCCCCGAUGGGAGCGGCAUCCUUUUAUUAUCGUUUUUUAACGAGAAUGAAAGAUAUAGCGUACAGCGGGAAAUAGC
rnacentral:sRNA from 1 species